rnacentral:rRNA from 1 species
AUUGAACGCUGGCGGCAUGCCUUACACAUGCAAGUCGAACGGCAGCACGGGAGCAAUCCUGGUGGCGAGUGGCGAACGGGUGAGUAAUAUAUCGGAACGUGCCCAGUCGUGGGGGAUAACGUAGCGAAAGCUACGCUAAUACCGCAUACGAUCUACGGAUGAAAGCGGGGGAUCGCAAGACCUCGCGCGAUUGGAGCGGCCGAUAUCAGAUUAGCUAGUUGGUGAGGUAAAGGCUCACCAAGGCGACGAUCUGUAGCUGGUCUGAGAGGACGACCAGCCACACUGGAACUGAGACACGGUCCAGACUCCUACGGGUGGCAG